rnacentral:rRNA from 1 species
UACGGAGGGGGUUAGCGUUGUUCGGAAUUACUGGGCGUAAAGCGCACGUAGGCGGAUUGGAUAGUCAGAGGUGAAAUCCCGGGGCUCAACCCCGGAACUGCCUUUGAAACUCCCAGUCUUGAGGUCGAGAGAGGUGAGUGGAAUUCCGAGUGUAGAGGUGAAAUUCGUAGAUAUUCGGAGGAACACCAGUGGCGAAGGCGGCUCACUGGCUCGAUACUGACGCUGAGGUGCGAAAGCGUGGGGAGCAAACAGG